UACAGAGGGGGCAAGCGUUAUUCGGAAUUAUUGGGCGUAAAGGGCGCGUAGGCGGCAUGGCAAGUGGAUGGUGAAAUCCCUCGGCUUAACCGAGGAACUGCCGUCCAAACUGCUUCGCUUGAGACCGGGAGAGGUGAGUGGAAUUCCCAGUGUAGCGGUGAAAUGCGUAGAUAUUGGGAGGAACACCAGUGGCGAAGGCGGCUCACUGGACCGGUACUGACGCUGAGGCACGAAAGCGUGGGGAGCAAACAGG
rnacentral:rRNA from 1 species